GCGAGGCUGGCCUUCACGCCAGGCAAGUCAUGCCCAGGGCCAAUAAGCAACUCCCGGGAGCUGGCUCUGGCAGGAUCGUGGUCCUGUUAUCUGGUGCCCACCUGUUUCGGCAGGCCUUGGGAGCAUGCAACGCCAGCGGCCGUGCUGGCCUCGCA
rnacentral:other from 1 species